AAAAAGGUAAACAAACAAUUUGUACAUUUUCGGGUAGUUUUAAUAUUUAUUGGUUAACCAACCAAAUACAAAACCGCCUGGAUCUGUCACUGAACGACCUGACUUUAAACCUACAUUAUUUGAUCAUGUAAUGUUUUCAUCUACCCUCAGCUGCCUUAAGGAGCCAUUUGAGGGUAGAUUUUGUUUACCUUUUUUAAAUACCUAAAGAUACAGACUAUGGUAAAAGGUCAAUUUAUACGUAUUGUAUUGGGGCAAGACCCUUAGGUAUUGCUAGAAGUGCCUCAAUUCGGGGUUUGCCUUCAACAUAUGCAUUAGGCACUCGACUCGUGCCAGUGCAGGUUUUAUCGACCAAUACCCCAACACUCGACACUUAAACACUACUGAAGUUUUAUUGACUGUAAAAUUGGAAAAUAACUGAAACAAUGUGAGCCACCACGUGCGGUUGCAAAAGAGCACUAGCCUGAAUAAAAUAAGUACAAUGGAGGAAAAACAAUUUUAUUUACCUACUCCGUAAAGUCAGGGGUAACUUUGUUGUUGAGAGGAAGUGACACUUACGUCGACUUUAUAAAGGACUCGUGCCGCGCGUGACGUUUGCCAGCUCCACCCACUAAAGGAAAUCUGUUAUUUGCUAAGAUCUGAAGUUUACUUACAAACUGGAUAUCGUUGUUCGAAAACUGAUUUCAGAACAAAAGUAGGUAACUUGAGCAUUGACAGUGGGCGCAUUUUCCUGGGAUAUCAGACAGAAAGCCAGUUCGUUACGGUGAACAACGAUCGUAAGGGUGAAUCCAAAGUUUCCUUCAUUUAGGAAGUUUCUUUAGGCCGAGCGGCGACCGCGGUCAUAAACCAAAAACACAAAGGUUUUAUGUGUUACGUUAAUGGAAGUGAUCAGACCUGCGGCAGCCAUGUUUGACUGAUAUACCUACCUUUGGGAGUCUAGGGAAGCGCACGGUUCAAUAAUUAAUUAUAUUUAGUCUGACCAGCAAACUAUAAAUUUGCUGUCUUUUUUUCUAACGCUUGAUAAGCUAAACAUUCAAUAUUGAACAUUUUCCUUAUUUAUCUUUAAAAUUAAAUUAGUAACGUAUAUAAACACUCGGUUAUAAAUAUAUUAUUCAAAUUGCAUAAGUAGAGCCGGAGUAGCUAAUAGAGCAGCCCUCGUAUUUCCGAUGUGACAGAUGCCACACUUGUGACCUAUCUCAAAGCAGUUUAAUAGGCGCGGAGAUAUUUCUAUAUUUAUAUACAAACGCCAUCGAAAACCAGAAAGACUGGCAUCAACCCGACGGAUGUAACGUAAAAGUUUUGUAUAUAAAACUUCUACUCGCUCUAAUUUCUUUAUACUUAAUAAAAAAUUUAGCAUUGAAAACUUAUAGGGUUAAUGUGUCCCUCAAUUCGGACUAGUGGGACCAGGCCUCUUUACCAAUACGCAAUGGCGGAUUGGGUGUAGGGCGCUCACGAGACGUGAGCCUUCCUGCCUUCCUUGCGUCGGCGGCUGGGGUUGUGGAUCUUGUCACUAAAAUUUUACCGUUAGAUGGUGCCAAGGUCACAAUACCCUAUGCCGCCGAUGCUUUGUCGGCUUGGAAGGCUUUUAACUCUGAUGCGCCUGUACCCGAAAAACCUUGCCGCCAGCGUUUAUGGGACGACGUCGUGGUAUGGGUGCUAUUCGAUAUUCUUAUAAAUGCCGCUUCUGGUGCUGACAGUGCCAGGCUAAUCAGGCUCCAAGCCUGAAUCUGGAGCCUGGCUACACGCUCUUCCCUCCCCAAACUUAGGCACCUUACUAGACAAUGACUCGAUGCGGGUGGCCGCUGCUCUCCGCCUGGGUUCUGAUGUAUGCCAACCCCACCAAUGCAUCUGCGGUUCCAAAGUGGAGAGCAACGGCCACCAUGCCUUGAGCUGCUGCCGCUCGCUGCGCGGGAAGGUUCCCACGGAUUGAUCCUGGUGCCGUGGGAAAAGGGUAAGUGCUUACUAUGGGACGCCACAUGCGUCAGUACUUUUGCCGCCUCGCAUCUUAGCCGCAGUAUGCGGUCGGCAGGAGCGGCUGCUGAGCACGCGGCGUCCCUUAAAAAAGAUAAAUACUCGGCGCUGAGCGGUUAUUUAUUCGUUCCUCUCGCUGUGGAGACUUCGGGGUGCUGGCGCGCUGAGGGUAAGUCCUUCCUCCGGGAUCUGGGUCGUCGCCUGCUAGAAAGGGGCCUUGAUCCCCGCUUCGGGUUUUUCCUGAUGCAAAGGCUAUCCAUUGCAAUCCAACGCGGCAAUGCAGCGAGCGUGAUGGGCACCUUUGCAUCGGGGGCGGCCCGGUAGCCAAUAGGUAUGUAGUUAUUUUAUACAUAUUUAGUUUAUAUUUAUAUUUAAGUUCUGAUACAUUUAGGUUUAGUUUUUAAUUAGAUAUAUUUUAGUAUGUAUUUUCAUUAAUUAAUAGGCAUGUCAAGAUUGUUUACCUUUACUUAUAGAUUAACAAAAUUAAGUUGUUCUUAAAUAAAUAACUUUUAAUCAA